rnacentral:rRNA from 1 species
GAAACACGGACCAAGGAGUCUAGCAUAUGCGCGAGUCAUUGGGUGGUAAACCCAAAGGCGCAAUGAAAGUGAACGCCGGCUUGACUGGCUGAUAUGGGAUCCGGACGGUUUCGGCCGAACGGCGCACCAUAGCCCCGUUCUUGCGGCUUGCCGUAGGGCGGAGGAAGAGCGUAUACGCUGGGACCCGAAAGAUGGUGAACUAUGCCUGAGCAGGAUGAAGCCAGAGGAAACUCUGGUGGAGGUCCGAAGCGGUUCUGACGUGCAAAUCGAUCGUCUGACUUGGGUAUAGGGGCGAAAGACUAAUCGAACCAUC